GACACAGGUUCGCUCAGCUCCCGUGUGGAUCUAACUUGUCUCCCAAACAAAGAAAGUCUCCUCUUGUGUCCACAAACAUGGUGUGGGCCUGUAAGGCUAAGACGGCCCUGGCUGCGGGCUGUCAGGGUGACAGAGGGACGUCCUACCGCUGACCAUUACAUGCGUCCUGGCAGUGAGCCCCACCUGUGAGCCAGUAAUGAGCUGAGCAUGAAGACAGAUUCCCGCCUAAACUUGCUGGACGAUGGGACCCUGAUGAUCCAGAACACACAGGAGACAGACCAGGGUAUCUACCAGUGCAUGGCAAAGAACGUGGCCGGAGAGGUGAAGACGCAAGAGGUGACCCUCAGGUACUUCGGGUCUCCAGCUCGACCCACUUUUGUAAUCCAGCCACAGAAUACAGAGGUGCUGGUUGGGGAGAGCGUCACGCUGGAGUGCAGCGCCACAGGCCACCCCCCGCCGCGGAUCUCCUGGACGAGAGGUGACCGCACACCCUUGCCAGUUGACCCGCGAGUGAACAUCACACCUUCUGGCGGGCUUUACAUACAGAACGUCGUCCAGGAGGACAGCGGAGAGUAUGCGUGCUCUGCGACCAA
rnacentral:sRNA from 1 species